GGCACUCACUUUGUCGAUGGUUCCCGCGGGCUCGCCCAAGGGAUGAAAAGGGAAUACGGUGCGGCCGCCAAGGCCAAGUCCGUAACUGCCCCCGCAACUGUAAGCGGUGAGCGACGCCGAGAAUCCACUGGUCCGACGGGCCGGGAAGGUUGGCCAAGCCACGACCCGCAAGUCAGGAGACCUGCCAUCUGAUGUUCAACCAA
rnacentral:ncRNA from 2 species